CCUACGGGUGGCAGCAGUGAGGAAUAUUGGUCAAUGGUCGUAAGCCUGAACCAGCCAAGUAGCGUGCAGGAUGACGGCCCUAUGGGUGGUAAAACGCUUUUAGGCGGGGAUAACAGGCGUCACGUGUGUUGUUUUGUAGGUACCGUGUGACUAAGGACCGGCAAAUUCCGUGCCAGCUGCCGCGGUAAUACGGCAGGUCCGGGCGUUUUCCGGGUUUGUUGGGUGUAAAGGGAGGGUAGGCCGGAGGUUAAGCAUGCCUUGAAAUGCCGGGGUUCAACCCGGGCACUGCGGCGGAAACUGGCUUGCUUGAGUGCGCAGAACGUAGGCGGAAUUCGUGGUGUAGCGGUGAAAUGCAUAGAUAUCACGAAGAACCCCGAUUGCGAAGGCAGCAUACGGCAGCGCGACUGACGCUGAAGCUCGAAGGCGCGGGUAUCAAACAGGAUUAGAUACCCUAGUAGUC
rnacentral:rRNA from 1 species